rnacentral:rRNA from 1 species
AUGGCAUCUCAGGCUCGCGAGCUCCGCUUCCUCCUCGCCGUCGCCGUGUUCUCGGCCGCCGCGGCCGUGGCGGGCGCGCGGUACGGCGCCGCCGGGCAGUGCGGCCCGGUGGGGGCGAUCGUCACCGAGCAGCUCUACUCGUCCCUGUUCCUGCACAAGGACGACGCCGUCUGCCCCGCCAAGGGGUUCUACACCUACGCGUCCUUCAUCCGGGCCACCAAGAAGUUCCCCAGGUUCGGCGCCACCGGCGACCUCGUGACGCGCAAGCGCGAGAUCGCCGCCUUCCUCGCGCAGAUCUCCCAUGAGACGACCGGCGGCUGGGCCACCGCGCCGGACGGCCCCUACUCCUGGGGCCUGUGCUACAAGGAGGAGAUCAGGCCGCAGAGCAACUACUGCGACGCCACCGACAAGCAGUGGCCCUGCUACCCCGGCAAGUCCUACCACGGCCGAGGCCCCAUCCAAAUCUCAUGGAACUUCAACUACGGGCCGGCGGGGCAGGCGCUGGGGUUCGACGGGCUGCGGUACCCGGAGCUGGUGGCCAACUGCUCCGACACGGCGUACCAGACGGCGCUGUGGUUCUGGAUGACGCCCAGGGAGGCCAAGCCGUCGUGCCACCAGGUGAUGGUCGGCGAGUACUGCCCCAGCCGGGCCGACGUCGCCGCGAACCGCACGGCCGGGUUCGGGCUGGUCACCAACAUCGUCAACGGCGGCCUCGAGUGCAACAUCACCGAGGACGCGCGGGUCAACAACCGGAUCGGCUUCUACCGGCGGUACUGCCAGGUCCUCGGCGUCGACGUCGGGCCCAACCUCGACUGCGCGCACCAGCUCCCGUACUAG